rnacentral:lncRNA from 10 species
CUGAAAUAAUCAAAAGGAUCAGGAUCCAGUUUUAAAGAGCUUAUUCAAGAGAAGCUGAAAGCCAUUCCUGGAUGCGCCCCUUCAGAGAAAUGAGUUUAGUGCUUUGAAGUCAAAAGCUAAAUUUUUUCUUAUAUAGGAAAAAGACAAAUUUAACAAGAUUACAACAUUUUCUAUACAAAACUGAUUUAUGAGUUAUAACAAAUUAAUUAGUUACAGUUUGUUUCCAUGUAGCUUGUUUUCUUUUCCUUAUAACUGGUUUUUCAUUUCCUUUCCAAUUUUAAAGAGUGUAUUUAACAUUCCAUCUUAAGCCAUAUGAUAGCCUAGAAAUCUUUGUGUCAGAAAGGUAAGAGGGGGGUCAAUGUAUAAUGAAAGUCUACAGUUAGAGGGAAGGGGGUCCUCCCUGGCACCCUUCAACCAUUUACAUUUUAUGAAACAAUGCAUGUAAGGGAAAAGGCUUAAUUUGUUAUUAAACAAAAGCUUAUAGCUUAUAGCUGCCUAGUCUACAGCCUGUCAAUGACUCAGGCCCUGAAAUUCUCAUUCCUUUAAGGCUCAGAAUAAUUUAGCAUUCCAAUAGCUUAGACUUUGAAUUACUUAUUUCCACAAGAGGACACCUGUAGGCAGGAUUUCCACAAGCACUACCUGACCCUUUAUUUAUAACGCAACUCAAGAAGCCACUGUGCCUAGCCCUUGUGAUAUUUUCAUUCCACUUAUGUAAUACUUAUUCUAGUUGUCCCAUCA